GUGGCCCAGAAGAUCACGCCCCCUUCCCUUACCCCUACUGCUCAUGCUCCAGGUGGAAGGGACUGAUAAAAGGAGGCAGCCCAGCUCAGUCUGGGCUGGCUGGGGAGGAGGAAGGAUGUGGGCUGCAAGCAAUGGGAAUGGUGGACUCGGACUAUGCUGUGGAUGACCCGCUGACUGUGGAGACUGACUGGGACAUGGAGGCACUACCAGCUGAGGAGGUGCUCGAGAUGAGCCUUGUGUAUGUCAGCUGCCCAUAUUUGCCUUAUGUAAUAGUCUUCAGCUUUCUGUGGAAAGAAGCCAACAUUAGAAUAGCUACAGGCUGCCUUGCAGCCAUUUCCCUGGACCUGUUUCACCUUUCUUCAACAACAAAACCCCCCAAGGAUGUCAAACAGGGGCUAAGACACAAACCAACAAAAGUAGGAAUGCUCUGAGUUAGGAGAAGGACUCUGACAUGCUGUGUUCGACAGUAGAUAUGACCCUUGAGAUAACGCAUGAAGAAUACUGGCACCAAAGGGCACCUCAGUGAAAUGGAGACAUGCAAUGUCUCACAUGACUUCCACAAGCAAAAAAUUUUGGUACAGUAUCUGAUUUAUGAAAGUAUUUGGGUGAUAUCAUUUAAAUACACAAGGUCCAGAUCCUCCACAGAUGUAAACUGGCAGCUGAGGAUCUAACCCUCAAAAUACAGUAAUGACCACGAAUACAUAUUUUCUGAAAAAGCGUUUUAAUAUACUGUGAUAUUUGCAGUAUUUUAAUAUACUGUGAACAUCCUAGAGUAAAACAUCAGGGUGCCAUCAAUGUUGAGUUGGAGUGGCAACUGGUAUAUGUGCUACCACGUAAGAGAGACUGAUUUAUGGAGCAUUACAAAAUAUCAUCAUCACAGGAAGUCACUCUUCCCCUCAGAUGUUCCAAUCAGAAAUUCUGGGCAUGGAUAAAUCAACCAUGGCUGAGUGGAUUUUGUUCAAAAGUAGUUUGCUAAGAAACUUUCCUGAAGAUCUAACAAACAUUCCAAGUUUGAAGGAAAGUGUUUUAAUUGAUCUCAAGUUAUGUGCACUGAAAGCUUUUUCACACAUUCAGAGCAGGAUUUCCAGGCAGGUAUCUUUGCUCUAUCAAUGGCUUAGAAAAUCAGCACACAUAUGUACAGCAGUCUUUAAAGUUUGUUUUUUGUUCUCAGACAUGCAGAGAUGAGAAAUCAAGAACUGAAACUGAGAAAUGCAGAGUAAAGCUGAAAAUUAAUCCUUAACUUUGCCCUCCUAUGAUUAUUUCUUAAAAUAUGGUCUCUCUUUAUAUAUAUAUCAGAAUAAAUUAUAUGUAAAAUAAUAUAAAGUAUAAUGGAAUACAAAAUGGAAUUUCUUAUAUAACCAUUACUCACAGUAUAGAACAUACAGUUUUCAGAACUGGCUUGAUUUAAGUCUCAAUGAGAUCUAUGAAACAAGUCCACUUUGAAUGUUGAUGUUAUAUUAGGUAUCAGUUAUCAUGAUAAAAGAGUAACCGUAUUUUAAAGCAGAAAUAGGCAGAAAUAUCAUUGAGCUUUCACCAUGACUUUGUAUUAGCUGAUAUCUGAGUGCUUAUCUAACCUUAAAACUGCCUUACAUCUAGUUAAUUGCAAGAUUUAAAUAUGAAAGUCUAAAUCCUGCCCCAUUAUAUCUGAAAUUAGAGUUUUGACUCCCUCUUUGAGACUUAGGCUUUAUUCUAAAAGUCCCCUUCUUGACUUUAUAGGUUGGCCUGAGAUAAGUGAGAGCAAAAUUUGACCCACAGAGUGAUGAACAGAGUUUGUGCGUAAACACACGUGAGAAUGCCUGCAUGCCCGCACAUACACAGCAAUCCUAAACCAUUCACCAUUAACAAGCCAUGUUUCUUCAGUUAAAAAACCAAGCACACAUACAUUGUAAUCCAUUCCCCACACAGAGAGCAAGUGUAAUUAUUUCUCCCUAUGCAAAACAUUAAUAGCAUCAUUUGUUUUCUGCUGAAUACCAUGGGUAGAAGCUGAAGGAAAGGGGGAUCUGUUGCAAGUCCAAAUGUCAAGGAAAUAAAUGGCAUUAGGAUAUAAAACAUAGGAAGCUUUAUGAGUUAUCCAGCAGGGAAGAUAAAGUGAAUUCAUAGUUCAAAGGAUUAAAAAAAAACCGCUUCCAUUUUUUACUCCUUUCUGGUUAUUAAGGUCUCUGCUACAUUCACUAGCGACUAAAACAGCGACUUGUGUGUCCCUGCCUGUGGUGACAGUACUACCAGCUGCUCUGUGGGUUCUUUUCCCGCCCGGCAUACUAAUACAAUAUACAAACCACUUAAGAUUCCCAGGGGGCAAUUUCACGAUUGCAGAGGAAAAUGAACUGCUUAGGAUCACCAGCUAGCAACAUUCAAGUUAUGUGCUUUCACUUAAAACAAAGCGAAUGAUGCACAUAGUCAGUGAAAAACA